CAAGGAAUUUUUAGUAACAACAGAAUAACAAAGUGGUCUAGUACAUAGAUUGCAUGUAGUUGUUCCAAGAAAUACCUCACGCAAUAAAAAUCAUCCUAGCAAUUACAAAUAAAAUUCAUUUGGACACAAUUGAAUGCCAUAUAUCACUAAGUAACCAGCAACAUGGAAAUUUUAGAAAACACUAUUACAAAACAGAAUAGUACCAAAUUUGAAAACUAACUACUCUUGAACUUGUUCUUCAAGUAGCUUAAUUUGUAGGUGACCAGAGAUUUUACAUCAACUUCAUAUGUUCAGCAAUCUCUCUAGCGACUGAAACAUUGUUAUCCAUGGGCUGUAACCAACAUAGUCAUCAAAAUGAAACAAAUAGUUGGUCAGACACACAUAAUCGUAGAGCAAAAUGCCAAAACCGCCAAGGAUAUAGAUGGAUCAACAUUAAAUGGAAGCAUGGAACUAAAGAAACACAAAUCUAUUCUAGUGGUAAGUGGUAAAAAUACGAGGAAGAAGAAAUUAACCAUAUAUGAAUGGAUUGCUCUGUAAGACAGGAAAAUAGGUUAAAUGUGAAUAUAUUCAAAAUUUCCAAGUAUAUAAGAAUCUAAUGCAAAAAUGAUUGUGUGGAUCUUCUUUACAGUAUCCAUGGCUAAAGAAUAAAUUAAAUUCAAGGAACCAGCUAGCUAGAAUCACAUGAUUACUCGCCAAAAAAGUAUAUUCCUAUCUGGUUUAUUCUACAGAAAACAAACAAGCAACAGCCUGAAUGCAAAAUCAACAUUCCAUGUUAUAGAAGAUUACUUCUGGACUAAGGGUAGGUUAAACAAAAAAAUCAGCAAUGUUUGAUAGGAUGGAUGAGGGUCAGGGUCCACCUCAUGGUAAUUAAAAUAAAUCUAACUCAGCUUUCAUGAAUAUUGACAAACUGGGAGAUGGUCAGUGUGCACCAACGUAAUGUUUCCAAAGAGCCACAUAUGUAAAUCAAACGCAUCGUAUGGAUUCAACCCAAGUUCGCCAGCUAUUGUAAGAAUUCUGAGAGACAAGGUAAUAUACACAGAGCCAACAAAAAAUAGGAGCAUAUCCAACUAAUAAAUAUUCCAAACUUGCUUGCGAUGUAGAUUGCAUCGCUUGUUUACAUCGACGUAAAAUAAGAGCACGUCCAGCUAUAUCCUUCUGUCAGCGUGCAUCAAUAGACCAAAACUAGAAAUAAAAAGUUGCUUGACCAUUCAUUAUUUGCCUUCAGCUCAGUCUAAAAAUCCAAGAAGCAAACCUGAGAAAGGUUAGUGUACUGCAGGUGUAUGCACUACUUUCACAGAAGCUUAGUGCUUCCAUGUAUUGGUAAAGGAAAACCAGAUUCUACAUCUUUCAUUUUGCUAAUUGCUACCUAGAGAGUUCUGAAACCUCACUAGUGUUCAGGUCUGCACCUAGAGAGUUCUGAAGCCUUACUACUGUUCAGGUCUGGACCUGGAGAGUUCUGAAGCCUCACUAGCAGUUUUCUGAACGAGUUAACAUUUAAAAAAGGGACACGUUUGUGUCCUUUAGCAAGUCAUUGAAUCAAUAGACCCUAUAGAGGAAUAACACUAGAGUACCUUCUUAGAUCCAGAUAAAGGUGAUAGCUCUGUUUCUUGACUUUCUUGUCUGUUUUCGAUGAACUGUUCCUUCUUUCUUCUUAGGAGCUCCACUGCUACAAACAAAAGGAACCAUGUCCAGCCGUUUUCACUUAGAGUGGAGUAGGGAUGCUGCUACUGUAUUAGGAUGGUCAUCCCAUCAUUGUGAAUCUGCUCUGUUGCAGAAGAUGGAACAGAAGGAAACUAGAAAGGGUAAAGCACAAGAAAAUGUAAACAAAAAAUAAGCUGUACCCGAGCGAAGGUCUAUUCCAUCACCUCCUUCAGUAUGCAAGCUCCCCUCUUUUCUUUCAUCUCCUUUUCUGGUCUUCUUCCUUUUUCUUUGCCC
rnacentral:lncRNA from 1 species